ensembl:lncRNA
GUGAAUGUAAGUGUAAGAAGAGAAGCGUUCCCUUCAACUUGAGCAGUCAAGUGGUUCAAGCCAGUUUGAGGACAAGCAAAUUGUCCUGUUUCAAGCAAAUUGAAUCCAGUUUUUCUUCUAUAGUUUUCGAAAUAAUGACUUCAGGAAGAAACCUCGAGCCUUCCUUUUUGUGUGUUUGCUUAUAUUUUAUGUAUUGAUUGUGUGUUUGAGUGACACUUCUGGUGUGUUGUACAUUAUGUCUUUGUGAGUGGUCGCCCUUACAGAGUCUCUGCUGCUUCCCCAAGAACCCCACACCAGAGGAGGUUGUUGUCAGUGGCUGUUCCAACGUAGCACCUUAGCCAUUCACAACUGUUUCCUCCACAUCACAUUUCCAAUCACAUUAGACCUCUUAGCUCAGGACUCGUCAUGGCAACAUGACACUUGUAAGAAAAAAGAAUUUGUGGAUAUCCUCCCAUUUUAGCAAAUGCUCUGGAGCUGCGUCUUGCUUCUGGUAAAAAAAAGUAGGCAUCUCAUGAUUUCAGCCUUGUGUUUGGCAUUACUGUAUCUGCGUCUCAGUAACGGUGAAGUGUUGGAGACUGAGUGCAAUUUAUUUAAAAACCAUGAAUGAACAAAUCAUGGAUUUCAAUUGUUUUCAAAAUAAUGAUUUAGCUGGUAAGGGGAAGGGCUUUUGACUAUCCAAACUUACCCAAACUUUCCAUGUCUGUGUUCUCCAUAUUGGAAUCAUAAAGUACAUGUGGUUUUUUUUUCCCUCUGAAUUUAGCCCUCUGACAGUUUUCACUACUGGCAGAAUACACCUCAGGUCAGCUGACAACCUAUUGAUGAAACGGUAACUUGUUUUGCUGGUGUGGUUGUGGAAUUUGACCGGGCAGAGACUGGAAGAUACUGUAAUGCUGCAUCUUGCACCUCAUUUCCAGAGAAUAUACCUGAACAUGCGUUCUCUUUUUUUUUUUUUAUCUCAAAGUGCUUUUGGGUUGUCAGUAUCUGGCUAGCACACAAAAAGUUUGCUGGAACAGUUCCCAGCAAGGUAUCAUGCAUAUUUUCAAUGGUCUUCCAUGUUGCAGUAUAACCAUGUUUGUCCAUGCAUAGCCUCUUUGAAAGAAGAACACUUCAGAAAUAGUGGCCUCCGUAGUAAUGGAAUCACCAUAGUUUCUGUUAACUACGUCAAAAAUGUUUUCUGGAAAUGAGGUAUUAACUUUGCUUCUAAAUGAGCAGAGAAGAGCUAUAGUUACAUCAAGACAAACCUUGCCUUGCCAUUUUGAAAAGAAUGCCUAUUUUCUUGUUAUCGUUUAUUUUACCACAUCAGCCGCACAAACUUUGGCUGGGAUGCAAAAGUGAACCAGACAUCAAAACUUUAUUUUGGCAUGUAAGCUGGGCAAAGUUGAGAGCACUCGUGAUGUCAUUUUAGAAAACAUUGUUUUGUUCACUUUCUGAGCAGUCUUUCAGUUUUGUGUCCCAGUCUUCUGUUUGAAUCAUGGCAUCUGUUAUUUUUAUUCGAUCAUUUGAUUUUCAUUUUUAUUGUACUUCUGUACUAAUCUCCUUUUGUGUGGUAAAUGCACACUUAUUGUUGUUUCAACAUGGGAGGCCUGUACCUCAGACAGUAUUUUAUUUGUCCUCUAUCAUCUUUGAAAUGUCAUGAACAUGUUGAAAUGUUUGUAUUAAAGCAAUUACUGCUGUUCAUAA